UUGACCUUCGGAUCAGGUAGGAAUUCCCCCCCUGACCUUAAGCAUAUCAAUUAAGCGGAGGAA
rnacentral:rRNA from 1 species